rnacentral:rRNA from 1 species
AUGGCGCCGGCGGGAGGCGCGGGAGGCGCCGCCGCCGCGGCGAAGAGGGUGCCGAUGUACCGGCUGUUCGCGUUCGCCGACCGGCGGGACGCGGCGCUGAUGGCGGUCGGCGCCGCGGCGGCCAUGGCCAACGGCGUCGCGAUGCCCUUCCUCGCCUUCCUCGUCGGCGACCUCGUCGACGCCUUCGGCCCCGCCCACCGCGCCGACCUCGUCCACGCCGUCUCCAAGGUCCGCGCCGCCCCCGCCCCCGCCCCCGUCGAGGGUUCGCUCUCCUCUCUCCCUCGCGUUCCUGGGUGGUCCAUGAUUCAAUGCCGCGUCGUCUAG